GCGAUUUUUGGGGAUUUUGGGCUGAUUUUUGGUCAUUUUUUUUGGGUGAUUUUGGGCUAUUUCGGGGUGGAUGUUUGGGGUGAUUUUUAGGUGAAUUUUCGGGCAAUUUUGGGCAUUUUUACAGCGAUUUUUGGGGCGAUUUUUUGGGUGAUUUUUGUGAUUUUUUGGGGUGAUUUUGGGCAUUUUUACAGCGAUUUUUUUUUGCUAUUUUUUGGCAAUUUUCACGAUUUUUCCCUCAAUUUCAACGAUUCUCACAGCGAUUUUUUCAGCCAUUUUUUUCCAUUUUGAUGUUGAAUUUCACGAGGCGAAUUCCGAGUCCCAGAAAAGCCCCAAAAGUCCGAGAAU
rnacentral:lncRNA from 1 species